AUUGAACGCUGGCGGCAUGCUUUACACAUGCAAGUCGAACGGUAACAGGCCGCAAGGUGCUGACGAGUGGCGAACGGGUGAGUAAUGCAUCGGAACGUGCCCAGUCGUGGGGGAUAACGCAGCGAAAGCUGUGCUAAUACCGCAUACGAUCUGUGGAUGAAAGCGGGGGACCGUAAGGCCUCGCGCGAUUGGAGCGGCCGAUGUCAGAUUAGGUAGUUGGUGGGGUAAAGGCUCACCAAGCCGACGAUCUGUAGCUGGUCUGAGAGGACGACCAGCCACACUGGGACUGCGACACGGCCCAGACUCCUACGGGAGGCAGCAGUGGGGAAUUUUGGACAAUGGGCGCAAGCCUGAUCCAGCAAUGCCGCGUGCAGGAAGAAGGCCUUCGGGUUGUAAACUGCUUUUGUACGGAGCGAAAAGGCUCCCUCUAAUACAGGGGGCUCAUGACGGUACCGUAAGAAUAAGCACCGGGUAACUACGUGCCAGCCGCCGCGGUAACAC
rnacentral:rRNA from 1 species